CAAAAUCGCCCAUUGCUAAAAAAACAAACUGCGGAUAUGAGACACAGGCUCUCAGCCAUUCAUCAAACCAGAAAAAAAAAACAAAUUCAAAAUCAAUAUAAAUGGAUGGCCUACCUUGUGAAAUUCUAGAACAUGUUUAUUGUUUUUUGAAUUUCUGUGACUAUCUUCGUGCAACGGAGGUAUGCUGUUUAUGGAAGAACAUAUUCGCUUCAAAAAUAUCAAGAAAUGGCAAUCUAAUUAUCUCGUAUCACAUGUUGAAAGCGCGAAACAAGAGUCUUUAUACAAUAUUUGAACUAUUUUCGAAAAAUAGCAGAAUUUAUCAAAACAUUGUGUUUGAAGGCAUAGACUUUCUAAGCUUUGAUCGAAAAACAGAAAUACAAUUCAAAGUAUUUUUAGCCAAUGUAGGAUGGAAUUCGAAGUUCCUAAUUUUACAGGACUGUAUUUUGACAACAUUCGAAUUAUGCCAAAUAUGUAAAUUAAUGAAAGAACUAGAGUUUCUCGAAAUUUCUAGUUGUAGAAUUCAUUAUAAUGUGAUGUUAGUGCCUGAUUUGAAACUAAACUUUACCACUUUAAAACUAAUUAACAUUCGAAACCUUAAAACAGAAAAUGAAGAAAUAAUAGAUCUACUCACUGAAGGUAAUUCGGCUGUUAUUGAACUAAUUAUCAACGACAGUUACAUAGACGAUAGGACAAAAAUAAUGCUGAGUAUGAAGCGCUUGAAACGUCUGUCCUGCACAUUUUAUCAAAGCGUGUCAGUCCAGAAUAUAUUAAGCAGGCCUGAAGUGGUUCUUCAUUCUUUACAAUUACAACGGAAGCCAUCCGACCUGCUCCAUCCAGAUAUUAUUUCUAAUAUAAUACAAAAUCAAUGCAACCUGCGAGAGUUUUGCAUCAAUACACCUCUCACAGCAGAACUGCUCACCGAAAUUUCAAGAAAUUUAGUUUACUUAGAAAAGUUGUCAAUCACGAUCCAUGAUUCAAUUUCUCCUGUAUGUUCAACAACAACUUGGCCGAACCUGCGGGUACUCCAAAUGUCCUGCCGUACAAUGCAUUUUAUUGAUGUGAUAUUAAACUCUAUGAUAUUUGAGAAGCUAACAGAACUUCAAUUAUACACAGAACGAUUUUCUAAAAAUACAAUGAAAAUUAUAUAUGCAAAAUGUUCUGGUUUGAAAACCCUCACCUUGUCAGCAUUAUCUAUGAUGCGUUGCCAAGAAACUCUCGGAACGAUUGGAUGCAAACUACUGAACAUAGAAACAAUCGAUAUACACUGCAGCUCACAGACAGACUUUGCCGCUUUUUUAAAAUCAGCCGAAACUUUGAGACAUUUGAGAAGCUUGCAUUUAUUUUACUGUGAAAAAAUUACAGAUCAUACAAUCGCUUCAAUUUGUAUGCCUUAUUUGUCUUCAUUCAAACUCAGUCACAAUCGACAGAUCUCAAGCGUUGGUCUUCAAGAAAUGUUUGUUAAAUGCUUUCGUAUCAAGCAUCUUACGCUACGCGGAUGCCCGGGCGUCAAUGAUGGUGUUAUAAAAAUGAUGGUCGAAAAACUUCCGGAUUUGGAGCACUUAGAUGUCAGCGAAUCGUCAGAGAUAACUUUAAACAGCAUUCGAUAUAUAAUUACUGGACUGAGAUGUUUGACUAAACUUCGAAUGGAUAAUUGUCGACGUAUUCUCGUUCAAUGGCGAUUUGCGCCGCAAUAUAUAAACAAUGUACAAUGUCUCAGACUUUACCAUGACACAUAUCCAGAGUUUUUCUAUUAUAAUCUACCAACUGUGAAUUCGGAACCACCAAAGAGCAACAAUUACAUAUAUUUUGAUAGUAAUGAUGAUUCUUCCGAUCUAGAUGAAUUACAUUUUUGAAUUGAAUAAUCCAUAAUUAAAUAACUAAUGAUGGCUGAAUAAUAUAUUUUGAGUUUAUUUUAAUAUAAAACGUAAUUUUUAACUGGAGGUUAUUAUUUUUGACGCCAAAUUGCGUCACAAUCUAUCAGAUUUACCAUUUUGAUAGUUAACCUGAAGAGUGCGGUCAGUUAAAUAACUUCGUAUCAUUUAUGUAAGGUAAAGCGGAAAACUGAAAUUUGACAUUUUAGCUAUUAAACCUUUAUGCCAAACACUGUCGAAUGCCUUUUCUAUAUCUAGUAGAGCUGCUCCAGUCGAAUAGCCGUCAGAUUUAUUAGAUCGAAUCAUAUUUGUUACUCUAAGUAACUGAUGAGUAGUGGAAUGCCCAUGGCAAAAACCAAACUGCUCAUUUGCAAAAAUUGAGUUCUCAUUAAUAUGUGUUAUCAUUCUAUUGAGAAUUAUUCUUUCAAAAAGUUUGCUAAUAGAGGAUAGUAAACUAAUUGGUCGAUAACUUGAUGCCUCAGCUGGAUUCUUCUCGGGUUUUAAAAUUGGAGUGACUUUGGCAUUUUUCCAUUUCGUAGGAAAAUGUGCUAGUGCAAAGCAUCUGUUGAAAAUUUUUAUCAAGAAAUUUAAAAAGUUUUCGGGAAGUCUUUUAAUAAGGAUAUUGAAAAUCCCAUCAUCUCCUGGUGCUUUCAUGUUUUUGAAUUUUUUGAGAAUAGUUCGCACCUCAUUCAAGUUUGUUUCCAAUACCUCUUCAGAAAGAAAUUCUUGGGUGGUGAUCUGAUCAUACUUUUGGUUUACUUCAUUUUCAAUAGGACUUACUACGUUCAAAUUGGAGUUAUGAACGCUCUCAAACUGCUGAGCAAGUUUUUGAGAUUUUUGUUCAUUCGUUAGAAAAAUGCAAUCACCAUCUUUAAGGACUGGAAUGGGCUUCGAAGGUUUCUUUAGAACCUUCGAAAGCUUCCAGAAAGGUUUUGAAUAAGGUUUUAGUUGUUCAACUUCUCUCAUGAAAUUCUCAUUUCGCAAAAGAGUGAAUCUAUGUUUAAUUUCCUUUUGCAAUUCUUGAAAAAUUAUUUUCAAAGCAGGAUCACGAGAUCUUUGGUAUUGACGUCUCCGUAUGUUCUUCAAACGUAUAAGAAGUUGAAGUUCACUGUCAAUAAUUGGUGCAUUAAAUUUCACUCGAGCCUUAGGAACUGAUAAAUUCCGGGCAUUGAGUAUUAAGCUGCUAAAAUUAUCUAAUGCUCUGUCAAUGUCAGCACUGUUUUGUAAAAUAAUAUCAUCAUUCAAAUUUUCUUCGAUCGUAGAACGAUAUCUAUCCCAAUUAGUCUUGUGAUAAUUUAACACAGAUCUAGUGGGAUUUAAAAUAGUUUCAUGGGAAAUAGAAAAUGUUAUGGGAAGAUGAUCAGAAUCAAAGUUAGCAUGAGUUAUUAAAUCACUGCAUGAAUGACUUUGAUUUGUUAGUACCAAAUCAAUUGUAGAUGGAUUCCUAAUAGAAGAAUAACAUGUAGGACCAUUUGGAAAUAAAACUGAAUAAAAUCCAGCCGAGCAAUCAUUAAACAAUAUUUUUCCAUUGGAAUGGCUUUGAGCAUUAUUCCAAGAUCGAUGUUUCGCAUUAAAAUCACCGAUGAUUGAAAAUUUAGAUUUAUUUCUUGUGAGUUUUUGCAAAUCUCCCUUGAAAUAAUUUUUUCGCUCACCAGUGCAUUGAAAAGGCAAAUACACUGCGGCUAUAAAUAAAGUGCCAAUACUUGUUUCAAUUUCAAUUGCCAAACUCUCGAUAACUUUGGUUUCAAGAUGGGGUAAAACACGAUGUUUUAUUCGACGGUGGAUAACUAUUGCAACUCCACCACCGGCAACAUCAAUUCUAUCAAACCUAUGAACCAUGUAAUUUGGGUUCUUUUUUAGUUUAAUAUUUGACUUUAAAAGCGUUUCAGUCACAACUGCAAUAUGCACAUCGUGGACUGUUAAAAAAUUGAAAAAAUCAUCCUCUUUCGCUUUUAAAGAGCGAGCAUUCCAAUCUAGAAAAUUUACAGCAUUAUUUAAAAUCAUUGCUGAAUUUCAAUUUCAUAACAAUAUUAGUUGUAAAUUUUAUACCUUCUUGAACAGCCUCGUACAUCGAGUUACAGUUCAACAAAACGGACAUUAGCUGCAGCAUGGAUUGUUGUAGGUAUUCAAUCUUUUCUGGAGUUGGACUACCUAAAUCAAUACUGGCUGACUUUUCAGCACCAAACACGAAUGGUUUGUUACUGUUUGAAUUUGAAAUAUUACCUGUAAGGACACUGGCAUAUGAACAGCCUGGUGUUGCCUGAACAGGAUUUUUUGUCUGAAAUUUGUUAUCUGAAUUUAAAUUAUUACCUACAGACACACCUGCUAGUGAAAGUGCUGGUGAUGCCUGAACAGUAUUGAAUGUCUUUUGUAUACCCACAUUGACAACAGGUUGCUUAGAAUUCCUACGUUGUCUGGAAGCAAUAAUUUUUGACCUUACAGGACAAUUAAAGAAAUAAGAUUUGUGAUUUCCCCCACAAUUUACACAUUUGAAACUAUUGGUGGUCUCUUUCACGGGGCAGAUAUCUUUCGUGUGACCAGUGUCACCACAAAUCAUACAUUUUGCCGCCAUAUGGCAGUUUCGAGUUCCAUGACCAUAGGCUUGACAAUUCCGACAUUGAGUAAGAUUAUGGAUUUCUCCAUGUCUUUUGAAAUUUUCCCACUUUAUUCGUACGUUAAAUAAAACACGUGCUUUUUCCAAACAUUUCAAAUUAUUUACUUUGGUACGAUCAAAAUGUACUAAGUAAUUUUCCUGGUGUAUUCCAGUUUGAUUAAUUUUGGCAUUUGCCUUUCGUUUCAUCAAAAUUACUUGGUUGGGAGCAAAACCAAGUGAUUCUGACAAACAUUCUUUAAUUUCCUCAAUAGUUUGGUCAUUUGAAAGACCUUUUAAAACAGCCUUAAACGGUCUCUCGUUUUUGGCAUCAAAAGAAUAAAAUUUAUACAUCUUUUCAGUCAAAUACUGUAAAAGAUGUUUAUGGCCAUCAAAAGUUUCGGCCAAAAUACGAAUUUCGCCUUGGCGGCCAAUCUGAAAAUUAACUUUCACAUCCGACAGAAACGAUGAAAGCUCUGAUCGUAAUGCUUUAAAAUUCGCUACAAAUACCACAAUAGGUGGAACUUUAACCUUUUUCAUAACGGCUUUAUGCUCAGUAUGAGAAGUUUGAAUUUCUUGAUCCCCAACGGAAGAAAGAAUAUCAUACCUGUUAGUCGAAAUUUCAGUGUCACUUGGAGGAGAUGCCUCACGUUUCCUUGAAGCCGCAUCAAAGCGAGCUUUUUUAUUUUUUCCAGGCAUAACUGGAAAACUUCACUACACUUUCACUUCACUAUAGAAUUUAAGUAAAAAUAUCUCAAACCAAAUUUACUCACUAAACACUCGUUAACGUUAAAAACAAAUUUAUUACUUUGCGUUUCAACAGGUAGUCUUUCAAGAAGAUUGCCUGUUGAAAGCGAAAAACAAAAUUUCAAUAUCUCUCGGUAGUCUAAGACUUAGCCUCGAGCUGUUGGUAAAAUGCGACCGUACUGUAGGACAGUUCAAGUCGAUCUGUGGCUUACGCAGAUGAUAUAUCAGUAAUAGCCACCAAUACACAGACAAUUGAACGCAUAAAUGAGCUGUUUGCUAGAUUCGAGCAAGCCGCUGGCGCGAAAUUAAACCGACAAAAAACUAUCGCUAUUGAUAUCGGGCUCAUUGAUAAUGAUCCAUUAAGUGUGCCAUGGCUGCAAACAGCUGACCAUGUGAAGAUUCUGGGAGUUGUGUUCAAAAAAUUCCAUACGUACAAUGGUAAAAACAAAUUGGGAUGCGCUAGUAUCCAAAUUUUCUCAGCGACUUUGGCUACAUUCAAUGAGGAAUCUCAACCUGCAACAGAAAAUUAUAUUGUUGAACACCUUCAUCACUGCAAAAAAAUGGUAUGUAGCGUCGAUUCUACCACCAAACAAUGUUCACACGGCAAAAAUAACAUCAACCAUGGGUUCGUUUUUGUGGCGUGGACUACCGGCGCGUGUUCCAAUGGAACAAAUGGCACGCGACAGAUUUGCUGGCGGAUUGAAACUACAACUACCCGCUUUAAAAUGCAAAGCACUUUUUUUGAAUCGCCACAUGCAAGCAGCUGACUAUCUCCCGUUCUACCAAUCCUUAUUAAAUCAUUAUAUUCCUCCCCCGCAGAUAUCCCCUGCCUAAAACUCUUAUCUCAGCAAAUUCCUCUUCUCCCACAAUUCAUUCGAGAGCACCCGUCCAGUGACCAGAUACAUCGUCUUCUGAUUGAAAGAACGGCAACACCUCGUCAGUGCGUCUUGAACUGUCCUACAGAUCAGACGUUUUUUCGGUUGCUUGUGGACUGGUAUUUGACUGCCUAUAGCUUCAAAGUUUGUGUUUUGUCAGUGUGUCUUUUAAAGACUACCUGAAAGUUAUUUCCCAUCAGUCUUUCUGAAGACUACCUACUUUUGAAUUUAACAUUUGUUUUAACUUUUUUCGUAUCACCUGAAAUGGCUGGACGGAAAAAGAAACCUCGCAUCGCUGCGGGGAGGAAAAGAGAGGCAUCUCUUUCUGACACUUCGAGUGUCUGUAGUGACAAUCCUUUUGAUAUUUUGCCUGAGCAAGAAGCUGGUGAAAUUGAAGUUAUUAAUAAUGAAACUAUACAAAAUAUAAAAUCUUUAAAAAAGGAGAAAGUUCCACCUAUUGUGGUAACUAUUUCUUCUGAAUUUAAUAUAUUCAAAAAGGAACUUUCAACGUUUGUUUCUGACGUUAAAGUUACCUAUCAAAUUGGCCGUAGAGGUGAAUGCCGCUUAUUAGCCGACUCAGUAAAGGGUCGUGAUCGUCUUGUUCAGUAUUUAACUGACAAGAUGUACAAAUUUUUUACAUAUGACUCCAAGAACGCCAAGCCGUUCAAGGUUGUCUUGAAAGGUCUCACCAACGAUCAAACCGUUGAUGAGAUCAAACUUACUUUAACAGAAUUACUUGGCAUUUUUUUUUCCGUGUUGGGUAUUUUCGUCACUGCGGUCAAUUUUUUGAUAUUUUGUGACAUAUUCCCCCUUUUUAAUUUUGCUUAGUCAGGAUAACGUAUCAUUAUUGGAAGUGGUCGUUAUAGUCUGGCCAAUAGCAUUAGUCCAGUCCGGUAUUAUACUUCGUAUGAAGCGCACAACCGUACUGGGAUUUGUUCUCCAGAUUUCAGAGGGUUCCAGAAGACCUCUCUCGAAGAACUUAUAUCUUUUGAUAAAAAUUGCUGGACAUCGGCAUAACAGAUGUUCCGAGUCUUCUUUUUCCAUGCCACAUACUCGACAUGUAUCAUCUUGAAGUUUUUUCAUAACCUUCAAAUGAUAACGGCUCGGACAAUGCCCUGUUAUUAAACCAGUAUACGUGCUUAGAUCUUUUUUUGAAAGAUCCAGUAUUUUACGAGUCAUAGAAACGUUCGGAGUGAUGAACCGUUUCGACUGCCUACCGAUGAAGGUGUUUGUCCAGUUGGAUUCCACUUUCAGAGUUUCCCAUGCUUUUAGUUCCAUUCUAAGGGAACAAGCGGAUAGACCACAGAAGGGUUCUGGUCCUAUGAACUGAUGAGACGAUCCAAGUCUUGCCAAUUCAUCGGCUCUUUCGUUCCCAUUUAUUCCACAGUGACCAGGAACCCAGUAUAAGUCUACUUGAUUAUUACAACCCAGUGUUUGGAGUGAUUGGACACACUCCCAAACUAGUUUUGAUGUGCAUGUCGCAGACUUCAAAGCCUUCAACGCUGCUUGACUGUCGGACAUCAUGCAAAUGUUUGAGUGUCUGUAUUUCCUGCCUAGGCAUAUUUCAGAACAUUCUAGUAUUGCUUGGACUUCAGCUUGGAAGACAGUUGGCCAUUGGCCCAUUGGAACUGACAGGUCUAUUCCUGGGCCAGUUACUCCUGCUCCCACUCGAUUGUUCAUUUUUGAACCAUCUGUGUAGAAAAUGAUUGAUCCUGGGCGGAGAUCAGGACCACCGCGUUCCCAAACAUCACGCUCAGGUUCAAACAUUCGAAAUCGUCUUUAAAAAUUGUAUCUUUUCUCCAUCCGGUCUUCAUUGUUUAUCACUAGGGGAUUGAUACGAAUAGUUUUAAGAAUACCUAGAUGACCCGUUAAAUCACCCUCAAAGAGCCUUAAUGAUCUUUUGAUCCGUAAGGCACUCUUUUCGGCUUCUAAUUGUAUGAAUUGAUGCAGUGGAAGCAUAAACAGUAGAGCUUCCAAUGCCUUGGUGGGUGUGCUUCUCAUUGCACCCGUUAUUGAGAGAGUGGCUAGCCGUUGAAGUUUUUCCAACUUAUCUUGAGCACCUUUCUCCCUUGUUUUUGUCCACCAGACUAGUGAAGCAUAGGUAAUUCUGGGUCUCACUAUAGCCGAAUAUAUCCAAUGGAUCAUUUUCGGUUUGAGUCCCCAUUGUUUACCAAAAGUUUUAUUACAUAUCCAUAGAGUAUUUGUAGCUUUUUUUAUUGCCUGCUCUAGAUGUGUAUUCCAGUUAAGUUUUUUGUCAAGAGUUACUCCAAGGUAUUUGACAUUAUCUGAGAGUUUAAGAAGCUCACCUUUUAGCAUAAUAUCAUUAAGCCUAGUCUUUUUUCUACGUGUAAAUGGGACGAUAGUGGUUUUUGAAGGAUUUACAUUUAAGCCUUCCCUAUCGCACCCAAGGAAAUAAUGUUUAAGGCAGUUUGCAUUCGGUCUGUGAUGAUAUCAUCAUACUUGCCACGAACAAUAAUGACAAUAUCAUCAGCAAAUCCAACUACUUCAAAGCCUUCUUCCAUCAAUUUUUUUAGAAGAUCAUCAACUAUUAAUGACCACAGCAGAGGAGAUAUCACCCCUUCUUGUGGGCACCCUUUUAUAGCUGUUACACUUAUAUUAGAGCUACCAAGGCUUGCUGCUAUUUCUCUUUUUGAUAACAUCUCGCUUAUCCAAUGAAUAAUGCAAUUGUCAAAACCACGUUUCUCCAUUGCAGCAGCCAUUGAGUCAUGAGACGAGUUAUCAAAUGCCCCUUCAAUAUCAAGGAACGCCGUAAGGGAAAUUUCUUUUGCAGCAAAAGAUUUUUCUAGUUUUGUAACUAUAGUAUGGAGUGCAGUUACCGACGAUUUCCCCUCCUGAAACUUCGAAUGGAUAAUUGUCGACGUAUUCUCGUUCAAUGGCGAUUUGCGCCGCAAUAUAUAAACAAUGUACAAUGUCUCAGACUUUACCAUGACACAUAUCCAGAGUUUUUCUAUUAUAAUCUACCAACUGUGAAUUCGGAACCACCAAAGAGCAACAAUUACAUAUAUUUUGAUAGUAAUGAUGAUUCUUCCGAUCUAGAUGAAUUACAUUUUUGAAUUGAAUAAUCCAUAAUUAAAUAACUAAUGAUGGCUGAAUAAUAUAUUUUGAGUUUAUUUUAAUAUAAAA